GCAAGUAGACGCUGAGACUUUAGCUUGCUAAAGUUGGAAGAGUUGCGAACGGGUGAGUAACGCGUAGGUAACCUGCCUACUAGCGGGGGAUAACUAUUGGAAACGAUAGCUAAUACCGCAUAACAGCAUUUAACACAUGUUAGAUGCUUGAAAGGAGCAAUUGCUUCACUAGUAGAUGGACCUGCGUUGUAUUAGCUAGUUGGUGAGGUAACGGCUCACCAAGGCGACGAUACAUAGCCGACCUGAGAGGGUGAUCGGCCACACUGGGACUGAGACACGGCCCAGACUCCUACGGGAGGCAGCAGUAGGGAAUCUUCGGCAAUGGGGGCAACCCUGACCGAGCAACGCCGCGUGAGUGAAGAAGGUUUUCGGAUCGUAAAGCUCUGUUGUAAGAGAAGAACGUGUGUGAGAGUGGAAAGUUCACACAGUGACGGUAACUUACCAGAAAGGGACGGCUAACUACGUGCCAGCAGCCGCGGUAAUACGUAGGUCCCGAGCGUUGUCCGGAUUUAUUG
rnacentral:rRNA from 1 species